CUUUAAAUGUUUAAAAAUUAACAGUUUUACCUUUCCUGUCAUGUUCCGUAGAAGUUUCUCUUAUACCUGUGACAAACAUGUAGUAACAAUAUCAUAAUAUUUCAUCGUGGAAACACAACUAAAAAAGGCUGUUUUCGGUAUUUUCAAAACUAACAAUUUGACAAUUGGCCACGUUUUUCUUUACUACCGGUGAUGAAUAAGAUUUUCGCAAAUAUUGUGUUGAAUAUAAUUUCUGAUUCGAUUCCGUCCUAGACUGUUUAAAUGAGUUUAAACUCCCUCCUACAAGUGCACCACUCUACUCGGGAGAAACUGACACACCCUAAUGAAACACACCACACCUGUUAACCCUCAAGGAAUUUCACCCCACACAACGACACCACCGCACUCUGCCUCUGAGAACAAUAUGCACGAAGACACCUAAGAAAAAAGGGAUCAUCGCAAAACGGACAUUCGAUUUUUGGAAAGCUGCUACAGCGAUCCUAUAUAUUGGUUUUCGCUAUACGAACCUGGGCGCUACUUUUUUUGACGCAUUUUUAAUUCGUUAUAUAAACUAAUUUGUGCUUUUAUUCAUUGUGUAUACAACAUUAAAUAUACAACAUAUUGUAUAGAAGUGAAAUAAAUUGCUUACGCCCCAUAUGCGGGCAUUUUGAUUAAAAAGUA